rnacentral:rRNA from 1 species
CCUACGGGAGGCAGCAGUAGGGAAUCUUCCACAAUGGGCGAAAGCCUGAUGGAGCAACGCCGCGUGGGUGAAGAAGGACUUCGGAUCGUAAAACCCUGUUGUUAGAGAAGAAAGUGCGUGAGAGUAACUGUUCACGUUUCGACGGUAUCUAACCAGAAAGCCACGGCUAACUACGUGCCAGCAGCCGCGGUAAUACGUAGGUGGCAAGCGUUAUCCGGAUUUAUUGGGCGUAAAGGGAACGCAGGCGGUUGUUUAAGUCUGAGGUGAAAGCCUUCGGCUUAACCGGAGUAGUGCAUUGGAAACUGUGAGACUUGAGUGCAGAAGAGGAGAGUGGAACUCCAUGUGUAGCGGUGAAAUGCGUAGAUAUAAGGAAGAACACCAGUGGCGAAAGCGGCUUUCUGGUCUGUAACUGACGCUGAGGUUCGAAAGCGUGGGUAGCAAACAGGAUUAGAUACCCGAGUAGUC